UUUGACCCAGGACAGAGGGUCUUUGAAUAUGGCUCGCGAGCCCACUGGGUGAUAAAAAGUUCGUGAUCUGGCUCCACAUUCAAAAA